AUUAACUCUUGCGGAGAAUGUUCCCCAGUGACUGAGGUGAGACAGCCUCCACCACCAGUCCAAACUCCUACUUGUUGGGGUUCCAAAGUGUCCCCAGGGCCCCUCCCAGCCCAGAGCCAAGCCUGUCCUGGGAGUACAUCCCCUCAAGGUGGCCUGUGAUUCCUGUGGCUGGGUUUGUUCUGUCCACUCAUCGUCAUCGUCCUCCUCAUCUGAAGAUGUUCACUGAAGGAUCUCAGAUAAAAUGACACCUGUGUGACUUUACAUCACUGCAACCCAUCGGGGAGAGAUACCAAUGACACAAGCAGUGGCACAUGCGUUUACUCCCAGCACUCAGGAGGCAGAUCUCUGUCAG